UACAGAGGGUGCGGGCGUUAAUCGGAAUUACUGGGCGUAAAGCGCGCGUAGGCGGCUUUUCAAGUCGAUUGUGAAAUCCCCGGGCUUAACCUGGGAACUGCAGUCGAGACUGUCUAGCUAGAGUAUGGGAGAGGGAAGUGGAAUUUCAGGUGUAGCGGUGAAAUGCGUAGAUAUCUGAAGGAACAUCAGUGGCGAAAGCGACUUCCUGGACCAAUACUGACGCUCAUGUGCGAAAGCGUGGGGAGCAAACAGG
rnacentral:rRNA from 1 species